GACCAGACUCCUACGGGAGGCAGCAGUGGGGGAUAUUGCACAAUGGGGGGAACCCUGAUGCAGCGACGCCGCGUGGGUGAAGGAGUAUUUCGGUAUGUAAAGCCCUAUCGGCAGGGAAGAAGCAAGACGGUACCUGACUAAGAAGCCCCGGCUAACUACGUGCCAGCAGCCGCGGUAAUACGUAGGGGGCGAGCGUUAUCCGGAUUCACUGGGUGUAAAGGGAGCGUAGACGGCCAAGCAAGCCAGGGGUGAAAGCCCGGGGCCCAACCCCGGGACUGCCCUUGGAACUGCAUGGCUGGAGUGCGGGAGGGGCAGGCGGAAUUCCUGGUGUAGCGGUGAAAUGCGUAGAUAUUAGGAGGAACACCAGUGGCGAAGGCGGCUUACUGGACUGUAACUGACGUUGAGGCUCGAAAGCGUGGGGAGCAAACAGGAUUAGAUACCCGUGUA
rnacentral:rRNA from 1 species